GAUGAACGCUGGCGGCGUGCUUAACACAUGCAAGUCGAACGAAGCACCUUGAUUUGAUUCUUCGGAUGAAGAUCUUGGUGACUGAGUGGCGGACGGGUGAGUAACGCGUGGGUAACCUGCCUCAUACAGGGGGAUAACAGUUAGAAAUGACUGCUAAUACCGCAUAGACCACAGUAUCGCAUGGUACAGGGGUAAAAACUCCGGAGGUAUGAGAUGGACCCGCGUCUGAUUAGGUAGUUGGGGGGGUAACGGCCUACCAAGCCGACGAUCAGUAGCCGACCGGUGGGGGUGACCGGCCAAAGUGGGACUGAGACAAGGCCCAAACUCCGACGAGAGGCAGCAGUGGGGAAUAUUGCACAAUGGGGGAAACCCUGAUGCAGCGAAGCCGCGUAAAGAAUGAAGUAUUUGGGUAUGUAAAGCUCUAUCAGCAGGGAGGAAAAUGUCGGUACCUGACUAAGAAGCUCCGGCAAAAUACGUGCCAGCAGCCGCCGUAAGAC
rnacentral:rRNA from 1 species